UUUUUAUCUUUAACAAGGAGACGAUCAGAACAAAUACAACAGAGUGAUAUGUUUCAAGAUGGGUGACGGCAUAAAUGAACGUGCUAGAUUGGUGUGCAAGAGUCGGUGAGGCGAAGUAAAGCUUAGGGGUGAGAAUCUGUUGAAUUCUGGAGGGGAAAAGUGAAUGUAGGAGCUGGAAGAGAGAAGAAAGGAUAGGGAAUUUAGAAGGAGAGGGAGAAGCGAGAAAGUCGAUUGAGAAAAA
rnacentral:lncRNA from 1 species